AUCAGUGAAAACGAGUAGGGCGGGACACGUGAUAUCCUGUCUGAAUAUGGGGGGACCAUCCUCCAAGGCUAAAUACUACUGACUGACCGAUAGUGAACCAGUACCGUGAGGGAAAGGCGAAAAGAACCCCUGUGAGGGGAGUGAAAUAGAACCUGAAACCGUGUACGUACAAGCAGUAGGAGCACCUUCGUGGUGUGACUGCGUACCUUUUGUAUAAUGGGUCAGCGACUUAAUUUUAGUAGCAAGGUUAACCGUUUAGGGGAGCCGUAGGGAAACCGAGUCUUAACUGGGCGUACAGUUGCUAGGAUUAGACCCGAAACCAGGUGAUCUAGCCAUGGGCAGGUUGAAGGUUGAGUAACAUCAACUGGAGGACCGAACCGACUAAUGUUGAAAAAUUAGCGGAUGACUUGUGGCUAGGGGUGAAAGGCCAAUCAAACCUGGAGAUAGCUGGUUCUCCCCGAAAGCUAUUUAGGUAGCGCCUCGGACGAAUACUACUGGGGGUAGAGCACUGUUAAGGCUAGGGGGUCAUCCCGACUUACCAACCCUUUGCAAACUCCGAAUACCAGUAAGUACUAUCCGGGAGACACACGGCGGG
rnacentral:rRNA from 1 species